rnacentral:rRNA from 1 species
GACUGAGACACGGCCCAAACUCCUACGGGAGGCAGCAGUAGGGAAUCUUCCACAAUGGACGCAAGUCUGAUGGAGCAACGCCGCGUGAGUGAAGAAGGUUUUCGGAUCGUAAAGCUCUGUUGUUGGUGAAGAAGGAUAGAGGUAGUAACUGGCCUUUAUUUGACGGUAAUCAACCAGAAAGUCACGGCUAACUACGUGCCAGCAGCCGCGGUAAUACGUAGGUGGCAAGCGUUGUCCGGAUUUAUUGGGCGUAAAGCGAGCGCAGGCGGAAAAAUAAGUCUAAUGUGAAAGCCCUCGGCUUAACCGAGGAACUGCAUCGGAAACUGUUUUUCUUGAGUGCAGAAGAGGAGAGUGGAACUCCAUGUGUAGCGGUGAAAUGCGUAGA